AAUGCACCUUGCACUCUUUGGUAUUCCAAGGAGUAUGCCUGUUUGAGUGUCAUUAAAUUCUCAAACUACUUCUUGUUUUAGAGGCAGUUUGGAUUUGAGAGUUUGCUGGUUUUCUUCGAAUCAGCUCUCUUUAAAUGCAUUAGUAGUUUGGCUUUGUCCCACAUUCUCAAUUUUUGACAAUUUGACCUCAAAUCAGGUAGGACUACCUGCUGAACUUAA
rnacentral:misc_RNA from 1 species